GUUUCUUUUCUGGGAUUGUUUAGAUGCCGCGAAAAUUCCGCCGGAUGUCCGUUGCCUUCCUCUUUCUUUGUGUUGACGUUUUAACCUCUAAAGGAUUUAUG